rnacentral:rRNA from 1 species
GGCCCAGACUCCUACGGGAGGCAGCAGUGGGGAAUAUUGCGCAAUGGGGGAAACCCUGACGCAGCAACGCCGCGUGAGUGAAGAAGUAUCUCGGUAUGUAAAGCUCUAUCAGCGGGGAAGAAGGAAGACGGUACCCGACUAAGAAGCCCCGGCUAACUACGUGCCAGCAGCCGCGGUAAUACGUAGGGGGCGAGCGUUAUCCGGAUUUACUGGGUGUAAAGGGAGCGUAGACGGCGUCGCAAGUCUGAAGUGAAAGCCCGUGGCUCAACCGCGGAACCGCUUUGGAAACUGCGAGGCUGGAGUGUCGGAGAGGCAGGCGGAAUUCCUAGUGUAGCGGUGAAAUGCGUAGAUAUUAGGAGGAACACCAGUGGCGAAGGCGGCCUGCUGGACGAUGACUGACGUUGAGGCUCGAAAGCGUGGGGAGCAAACAGGAUUAGAUACCCGAGUA